GCGCUCGCAAGAUCUUGAAGUUUAGAGUGACUGACCAGAAUCAGAAUGGCGACCUGGCAAAUCUUAUUAAAAGAAUGGGACCAUGAAUUCCUCAUUGAAACUUUCGAAGUAAAUGGAAUUGAUGAUGAUAGUUUCUGGCUGUUGGAGAGCGAGGAAAUUAAAGAGCUUAUUCCAAAGAUGGGACCUAGGCUAAAAUUCAUCAAAAAAUUCUCUGUACAGUAACUGCUGCCAAAAAUAAUCAACAUGUCAUCUUUCAUCUGCUGCAAAUGUCUUUCUAAAAUUCCUGGAGGAAUUUCUGGGCUAUUUUGCCACCUGAAAGUAGUCCAUGGUAUACUAACAUCUACUUGCACAAAACUUGUUUGUGUAGAUUGUAAGGAAAUUUUGCGCCGUGGAUCAUCAUACAAAAGGCACCUCAUACAUGUCAUAGGGCAUUUGCAACCCCCUACAGUUCAGGCUGAUGACCAGUGCCAAGCUAAUAGAGUUCCUCAUAUUGACAUAUCUGACUUAUCUAAUGUAAGCAGUCAUGGGGAAUCAAGUGAUGAUGACUGUAAUCGUGUUGCAUUGAAUGUAGAUGCUGAUAUCGUUAAUGACACUGAAUAUGAUUCUCAAGAAAGCCUAUCAGACCUUGUAGCUGCUUUUUAGCUCAUUUACAAAGCAUUUUAAUUACUGUUAACUUGGAGUGUUAUUGCCAAGAAAUCAUGGCUCUUGUAAGACUUUUAAACAAUCACUGUUUAGAAAGGGAAACACCUUUA